CCUACGGGAGGCAGCAGUGGGGAAUAUUGGGCAAUGGGCGCAAGCCUGACCCAGCAACGCCGCGUGAAGGAAGAAGGCUUUCGGGUUGUAAACUUCUUUUCUCAGGGACGAAGCAAGUGACGGUACCUGAGGAAUAAGCCACGGCUAACUACGUGCCAGCAGCCGCGGUAAUACGUAGGUGGCAAGCGUUAUCCGGAUUUACUGGGUGUAAAGGGCGUGUAGGCGGGAAAGCAAGUCAGAUGUGAAAACCAUGGGCUCAACCUGUGGCCUGCAUUUGAAACUGUUUUUCUUGAGUACUGGGGAGGAAGACGGAAUUCCUAGUGUAGCGGUGAAAGGCGUAGAUAUUAGGAGGAACACCAGUGGCGAAGGCGGUCUGCUGGACAGCAACUGACGCUGAGGCGCGAAAGCGUGGGGAGCAAACAGGAUUAGAUACCCCAGUAGUC
rnacentral:rRNA from 1 species